rnacentral:rRNA from 1 species
GGAGGAUUUAGUAGUAAAUUAAGAAUAGAGUGCUUAAUUGAAUUAGGCCAUGAAGCAUGCACACACCGCCCGUCGCUCUCCUCAAAUAUACUUAAGGAAUACUUAACUAAAUGCUCCAAUACUUAUAUAGAGGAGAUAAGUCGUAACAUGGUAAGUGUACUGGAAGGUGCACUUGGAUAAAU